UGGGGAAUAUUGGACAAUGGGCGAAAGCCUGAUCCAGCCAUGCCGCGUGUGUGAAGAAGGUCUUCGGAUUGUAAAGCACUUUAAGUUGGGAGGAAGGGCAGUAAGUUAAUACCUUGCUGCUUUGACGUUACCGACAGAAUAAGCACCGGCUAACUCUGUGCCAGAAGCCGCGGUAAUACAGAGGGUGCAAGCGUUAAUCGGAAUUACUGGGCGUAAAGCGCGCGUAGGUGGUUUGUUAAGUUGGAUGUGAAAGCCCCGGGCUCAACCUGGGAAAUGCAUCCAAAACUGGCAAGCUAGAGUACGGUAGAGGGUGGUGGAAUUUCCUGUGUAGCGGUGAAAUGCGUAGAUAUAGGAAGGAACACCAGUGGCGAAGGCGACCACCUGGACUGAUACUGACACUGAGGUGCGAAAGCGUGGGGAGCAAACA
rnacentral:rRNA from 1 species